rfam:Brochothrix thermosphacta DSM 20171 = FSL F6-1036 c39, whole genome shotgun sequence.
AUAACUAAAUAUCUCUUACCGUAGACAGUAGGGAACGCUUGCGUUUUAAAAACCUACCGAGGAUUUUUUGAUUGCUGAUUUAUCAGUAAAACCUCUGACGCUAUCUACGGUGUGCAGAGGUUUUUUAUUGCUUAU